GCGACGUGAGCGGUCCGCCGCCCGCGACGUCGCGAGAAGUCCACUGAACCUUAUCAUUUAGAGGAAGGAGAAGUCGUAACAAGGUUUCCGUAGGUGAACCUGCGGAAGGAUCAUUG
rnacentral:rRNA from 1 species